UGAUUUUUCUUGCGUCUCCCGGAAGCUGUGCUGUUAGACACAAUUACCUCAGCUAGGUCACUGAGACCAAAUCAUACGGGACGCUUAAUGAAGGACCGCAUUCAAAAGGGAUUACGCCUUGAAGUGUCCUGGCGGGCGACAUUUUUACAGAUUUUAAGGGGCAAAUUUAGAACAGCUAAAAAAAAGGUUUCAAAGCCGUGACUACUAAAAGAGCAUCUAGGCCUCCCAUUUUAUCAGGAGGAAUUCAACUUAGAAAAUGCAGGUAGUGUCAUACAAACUGAAAUGGAGAUACAAUCCUGAUAGAAGAUUACACAAGAUACCAGGCAUUAUUGUGUCAAAUUAGCACUGAUGAUUUACCCAUAGCAGUAUGAACUUCUUGGAGGAAGGAAAGAAAAGUACAACAGCUUCUUCAGAGAAAAGAACAAAUUGGCAUAGGAAAGAAGAAAGACACUUCGUUUAAAGAAUGUAUUUUGCAGUAAAUGCCCACAAACAGCCCAUAGAGAGUUCACUUAUUUAUGCAUCACCAUAUGAUUAUUCUGACUGCCUUUAGUCUCAAACAGGGAAAGCCUCCGCAAAAAGCAUUCUCCAGGUGUUAGUUUAGGUUUGUCAUUAUUUCCUAUUUAUAGACUCUGUCUAGUAAAAGAAGACAAAUUACUGUAAGUGGGGGUAAAUGUGAUUAAACGAGUCCUCUGAAGAUAAGAAGUUACAUGGACAAGGGUCAUUAACACAAAUGACCUCUUUUUGCCAGAACAUAUUUUUUUAAUUUAGUGGAUUUGAAAAAAACUGCAAAGCAAGAAUAAUCUCUACUGCACAUACUCACAGAGAAACAUAUCCCUUUUAUUCUAAUAAAUAUUUUCAUGACUCUUCAGUAUUUUAAUAACAUACUGAUAAUGCCAAAAUACUCUCAGAAUACACCAAGAACAAUAUUGGAGGGAUCAUUUAUCUUAAGGAGUCUAAUCGGAAACACUUAAGCAACAUAGUUAUAAUCAGACAAGACAUAUAACACCAAGAAUGUAAGUUAGUGGAAACAAGAUCAUGGGAAUCAAAUGGAAAGCUGAAAUUUGUAAAGUUUCAAUUAAAACAUCUACACUCUUUCUUUCACCUGAUCGUAGCCCCAUAUGGCAAGGUCAGCCCUUUCAGUGAACAAACAGCUCAGUCGCCUCCAGUGUAGCUGUUAUCUUCCUCAACAAGGGGAGACAUUUGGCACAGCCUAAAGCUGGGGCAUGAACCCUGGCUAAGCUUAAGACAUUUAUCUGACAGCAUCAGCUGACACUCCACAAACACAUUUGCUCUCCAUGACCUCAGAGCAUUCGUGAUUAAUCAAAAAUGUAUCUUGGAUCUUGAGAACAAGCUACAACCAGGCACACACAAAAAAGAAUAUGCUCUCGAUCUCACUUAUCGACUCAAGAGGUAUAUUGAAUUUAGAAAUAGCAAAUAGAAUAAAAUGAUCAAUAUGUUCUCACUUGUCCAUGGAAGAGCAAACUUUAUCCCUCAAGCCAAAGACAUUGAUCAUGUAAAUGUUUCAGAACUGCUUUCAGACUCAAUAAUGCAAAAUGCACAUGGUUUAUUGGGGGUAGAGAAGGAGGCCUGCCAAAGAGGAGCUUUUGCUUUAACUUAAAAAAAUAUAUAGCUUGAAGACAUAAAGCAUUAUGCUUGUAGUGUGCUAUAUUUUUUUACAAACUGUGUGUUCAGCCUAAAACCUUUUUUGGUAACAUGUUGCUGAAUGUUCUCAAUAAAGCAUUAUAAAGGAGA